rnacentral:rRNA from 1 species
UACAUGGGGUGCAAACGUUUGCUCGGAAUCAUUGGGCGUAAAGCGCGCGUAGGCGGUUACUUAAGUUGGAUGUGAAAGCCCUCGGCUUAACCGAGGAAGUGCAUCCAAAACUGAGUAGCUAGAGUACGAAAGAGGGUCGCGGAAUUCCCGGUGUAGAGGUGAAAUUCGUAGAUAUCGGGAGGAACACCGGUGGCGAAGGCGGCGACCUGGGUCGAGACUGACGCUGAGGCGCGAAAAGCGUGGGGGAGCAAAACAGG